GCGCCGAUGGUUUAAUGGUAGAAUAGGGCCUUGCCAAGGCUCAGAUCCGGGUUCGAUCCCCGGUCGGCGCA
rnacentral:tRNA from 1 species